UACGUAGGGGGCUAGCGUUAUCCAGAAUUACUGGGCGUAAAGCGCGUGUAGGCGGCUGGUUAAGUGUGAUGUGAAAUCUUCGGGCUCAACCCGAAAACUGCAUUGCAAACUGGCCUGGCUAGAGUGCAGGAGAGGGACACGGAAUUCCGGGUGGAGUGGUGAAAUGCGUAGAGAUCCGGAGGAACACCGAAGGCGAAGGCAGUGUCCUGGCUGGUGACUGACGCUGAGGUGCGAAAGCUAGGGGAGCGAACGGG
rnacentral:rRNA from 1 species